GCAAUUAACCAAAUGCCUGACUACAGCGUAUACAGCAUCUGUUAUAAAAGCAUAAAAGGUUAACUUAAAUCCUGGCACACAAAGGAGAUGUCAGACCAGAACAAAUCAGCGUGGAAAUACCUGGAGGAGAUACAAGGUUAAGGUGGAGCAUAUGUACAAGGCAGAGGACACAUUUUCUCAAGCUUGGAAACAAAAAAGAGAAUUGGAUGGGAAGAGUGACAUUUAAGUGUUGUUCCAGCAGUGUGCUGCAAGUGGAACAUAAUCUUCAGUAUAAAGGAAGAGGAUGCUGGGCCAUGAAUAGGAAUUCUGUGAUUCAAGGAUAUUAUAACUUUUCAAGUUGACAUUCAACCAUGAAAACAACACGCAAUUGUGCUUAAGCGGGCAAGAAUCUUCAAGAUCUUCUUUUGUAAAAUGAUCUUCUUUUUUCAUGAUGGCGAAAACCAGUCAACCAAGAGAUAAAACAAAAUAUAUAAAACUCAGAGAAAUUUUAUUGAAAGUGAGGAAUUUUCUGAGCAUUGGAAUAUUUAAAUAAAGAACAUACAUAUGAACGA
rnacentral:lncRNA from 1 species